GCUCCAAUAGCGUAUAUUUAAGUUGCUGCAGUUAAAAAGCUCGUAGUUGGAUUUCGGGUCGGUUCUGUCGGUCCGCCGUUAGGUGUGUACUGACAUGGCCUUCCUUUCUGCCGGGGACGCGCUCCUGGGUUUAAUCGCCUGGGACGUGGAUUCGGCGUUGUUACUUUGAGUAAAUUAGAGUGUUCAAAGCAGGCUUACGC
rnacentral:rRNA from 1 species